UACAGAGGGGGCAAGCGUUGUUCGGAAUUACUGGGCGUAAAGGGCGCGUAGGCGGCCUCUUAAGUCGAACGUGAAAGCCCCGGGCUUAACCUGGGAAGUGCCUAUCAAACUGUUUGACUGGAGUGCAGGAGAGGGUGGUAGAAUUUCCGGUGUAGCGGUGAAAUGCGUAGAGAUCGGAAGGAAUGCCGGUGGCGAAGGCGACUGCCUGGCCUGACACUGACGCUGAGGCGCGAGAGCGUGGGGAGCGAACAGG
rnacentral:rRNA from 1 species